UUAAGCGACUAAGCGUACACGGUGGAUGCCCUGGCAGUCAGAGGCGAUGAAGGACGUGCUAAUCUGCGAUAAGCGUCGGUAAGGUGAUAUGAACCGUUAUAACCGGCGAUUUCCGAAUGGGGAAACCCAGUGUGNCACACUAUCAUUAACUGAAUCCAUAGGUUAAUGAGGCGAACCGGGGGAACUGAAACAUCUAAGUACCCCGAGGAAAAGAAAUCAACCGAGAUUCCCCCAGUAGCGGCGAGCGAACGGGGAGCAGCCCAGAGCCUGAAUCAGUGUGUGUGUUAGUGGAAGCGUCUGGAAAGGCGCGCGAUACAGGGUGACAGCCCCGUACACAAAAAUGCACAUAUUGUGAGCUCGAUGAGUAGGGCGGGACACGUGGUAUCCUGUCUGAAUAUGGGGGGACCAUCCUCCAAGGCUAAAUACUCCUGACUGACCGAUAGUGAACCAGUACCGUGAGGGAAAGGCGAAAAGAACCCCGGCGAGGGGAGUGAAAAAGAACCUGAAACCGUGUACGUACAAGCAGUGGGAGCACGCUUAGGCGUGUGACUGCGUACCUUUUGUAUAAUGGGUCAGCGACUUAUAUUCUGUAGCAAGGUUAACCGAAUAGGGGAGCCGAAGGGAAACCGAGUCUUAACUGGGCGUUAAGUUGCAGGGUAUAGACCCGAAACCCGGUGAUCUAGCCAUGGGCAGGUUGAAGGUUGGGUAACACUAACUGGAGGACCGAACCGACUAAUGUUGAAAAAUUAGCGGAUGACUUGUGGCUGGGGGUGAAAGGCCAAUCAAACCGGGAGAUAGCUGGUUCUCCCCGAAAGCUAUUUAGGUAGCGCCUCGUGAAUUCAUCUCCGGGGGUAGAGCACUGUUUCGGCAAGGGGGUCAUCCCGACUUACCAACCCGAUGCAAACUGCGAAUACCGGAGAAUGUUAUCACGGGAGACACACGGCGGGUGCUAACGUCCGUCGUGAAGAGGGAAACAACCCAGACCGCCAGCUAAGGUCCCAAAGUCAUGGUUAAGUGGGAAACGAUGUGGGAAGGCCCAGACAGCCAGGAUGUUGGCUUAGAAGCAGCCAUCAUUUAAAGAAAGCGUAAUAGCUCACUGGUCGAGUCGGCCUGCGCGGAAGAUGUAACGGGGCUAAACCAUGCACCGAAGCUGCGGCAGCGACGCUGAUGCGUUGUUGGGUAGGGGAGCGUUCUGUAAGCCUGCGAAGGUGUGCUGUGAGGCAUGCUGGAGGUAUCAGAAGUGCGAAUGCUGACAUAAGUAACGAUAAAGCGGGUGAAAAGCCCGCUCGCCGGAAGACCAAGGGUUCCUGUCCAACGUUAAUCGGGGCAGGGUGAGUCGACCCCUAAGGCGAGGCCGAAAGGCGUAGUCGAUGGGAAACAGGUUAAUAUUCCUGUACUUGGUGUUACUGCGAAGGGGGGACGGAGAAGGCUAUGUUGGCCGGGCGACGGUUGUCCCGGUUUAAGCGUGUAGGCUGGUUUUCCAGGCAAAUCCGGAAAAUCAAGGCUGAGGCGUGAUGACGAGGCACUACGGUGCUGAAGCAACAAAUGCCCUGCUUCCAGGAAAAGCCUCUAAGCAUCAGGUAACAUCAAAUCGUACCCCAAACCGACACAGGUGGUCAGGUAGAGAAUACCAAGGCGCUUGAGAGAACUCGGGUGAAGGAACUAGGCAAAAUGGUGCCGUAACUUCGGGAGAAGGCACGCUGAUAUGUAGGUGAAGUCCCUCGCGGAUGGAGCUGAAAUCAGUCGAAGAUACCAGCUGGCUGCAACUGUUUAUUAAAAACACAGCACUGUGCAAACACGAAAGUGGACGUAUACGGUGUGACGCCUGCCCGGUGCCGGAAGGUUAAUUGAUGGGGUCAGCGCAAGCGAAGCUCUUGAUCGAAGCCCCGGUAAACGGCGGCCGUAACUAUAACGGUCCUAAGGUAGCGAAAUUCCUUGUCGGGUAAGUUCCGACCUGCACGAAUGGCGUAAUGAUGGCCAGGCUGUCUCCACCCGAGACUCAGUGAAAUUGAACUCGCUGUGAAGAUGCAGUGUACCCGCGGCAAGACGGAAAGACCCCGUGAACCUUUACUAUAGCUUGACACUGAACAUUGAGCCUUGAUGUGUAGGAUAGGUGGGAGGCUUNGGGUUGCGGACAGUGUCUGGUGGGUAGUUUGACUGGGGCGGUCUCCUCCUAAAGAGUAACGGAGGAGCACGAAGGUUGGCUAAUCCUGGUCGGACAUCAGGAGGUUAGUGCAAUGGCAUAAGCCAGCUUGACUGCGAGCGUGACGGCGCGAGCAGGUGCGAAAGCAGGUCAUAGUGAUCCGGUGGUUCUGAAUGGAAGGGCCAUCGCUCAACGGAUAAAAGGUACUCCGGGGAUAACAGGCUGAUACCGCCCAAGAGUUCAUAUCGACGGCGGUGUUUGGCACCUCGAUGUCGGCUCAUCACAUCCUGGGGCUGAAGUAGGUCCCAAGGGUAUGGCUGUUCGCCAUUUAAAGUGGUACGCGAGCUGGGUUUAGAACGUCGUGAGACAGUUCGGUCCCUAUCUGCCGUGGGCGCUGGAGAACUGAGGGGGGCUGCUCCUAGUACGAGAGGACCGGAGUGGACGCAUCACUGGUGUUCGGGUUGUCAUGCCAAUGGCACUGCCCGGUAGCUAAAUGCGGAAGAGAUAAGUGCUGAAAGCAUCUAAGCACGAAACUUGCCCCGAGAUGAGUUCUCCCUGACNGUCCUGAAGGAACGUUGAAGACGACGACGUUGAUAGGCCGGGUGUGUAAGCGCAGCGAUGCGUUGAGCUAACCGGUACUAAUGAACCGUGAGGCUUAACCUU
rnacentral:rRNA from 1 species